rnacentral:rRNA from 1 species
AUUGAACGCUGGCGGCAUGCUUUACACAUGCAAGUCGAACGGUAACAGGUUAAGCUGACGAGUGGCGAACGGGUGAGUAAUGCAUCGGAACGUGCCCGAUCGUGGGGGAUAACGCAGCGAAAGCUGCGCUAAUACCGCAUACGAUCUGAGGAUGAAAGCGGGGGACCGUAAGGCCUCGCGCGAUCGGAGCGGCCGAUGUCAGAUUAGGUAGUUGGUGGGGUAAAGGCUCACCAAGCCGACGAUCUGUAGCUGGUCUGAGAGGACGAUCAGCCACACUGGGACUGAGACACGGCCCAGACUCCUACGGGAGGCAGCAGUGGGGAAUGUUGGACAACGGGCGCAAGCCUGAUCCAGCAAUGCCGCGUGCAGGAAGAAGGCCUUCGGGUUGUAAACUGCUUUUGUACGGAGCGAAAAGGCUCUCUCUAAUACAGGGGGCUCAUGACGGUACCGUAAGAAUAAGCACCGGCUAACUACGUG